UCUUGCAAACUAAAGAUGGCGACCGGCGCACGGGUGAGUAACACGUAUCCAACCUGCCGAUAACUCGGGGAUAGCCUUUCGAAAGAAAGAUUAAUAUCCGAUGGUAUACUAAAACCGCAUGGUUUUACUAUUAAAGAAUUUCGGUUAUCGAUGGGGAUGCGUUCCAUUAGUUUGUUGGCGGGGUAACGGCCCACCAAGACUACGAUGGAUAGGGGUUCUGAGAGGAAGGUCCCCCACAUUGGAACUGAGACACGGUCCAA
rnacentral:rRNA from 1 species